CCACCCCUCACUCCCAACCCCUGUGCCUGCCUCCUUCGGCCCCUUGGUCCCUCGGAAAGCUUCCAGACCCCGGCCUCAUUCAGAACAUGCCGAACAAUCAUGGGACGCUGGACCAGGAGACUCAACGGUGAGCAAUGAGGGAGGGUUUGCCCCUCAUACGCAGCCACACUUGUUCCGACACCAGGUCCAAGAGGAAGACUGCGUCCCAUUGGGGCAGAAAUUCAGAGUCCGUGGCGACGAGCAAUUUUAAUUGUCUUUUAUCCUAUUGAAUGGACAAGUCUAUCCCUAAUCCUCUCUCUCCCUCCUGUCCCCCAACAUUAAAAGCAAACAUGAUUUUGAACAGGUCCCAAGGAGAUUCUGUGGGCUUUUCGCGUUCUUUAGCUCAUGGGAGACUACUGCUCACUCAGGGUCGGCCUGUGGUUCUCAGCCUUGGAGAGAGCCGCCGCUGUUCAUUCCACCUGCUCCUGUUGGAAGGGAGGCUGUUCCCCACCAGAGAGAGAGGGCUUAGUCACCGGAAGGGGCUUUGCACACUCAAUUUGUAGUUAUGUAUUUCCCCAGGAUUACUUAUGCCUGAAAUCUCA